AUUUUAAUCUUAAUACCACAAAUUCCUCUUUCAUAUACUAAAUCCCUAAAUCUACAAUCAGAAAGGGAAAGAAAGGGAACGGGGAGCUCGAGGGGGAAAACAGAAAGGAAAAAGAAAGGAAGGGGAAAGAGGGAAGGCAGGGGAAAAACGGAGAACAGGGAGAGAGAGUGACGGAACAGAGUAGGAAGAGAGGAAGGAGGAUCGCCGCGCUGUGCCGCUCCUUGUGCCGGUUGCCGUUGCUGUCGUCAGAGCCAGAGAAGAAGAGAAGCAAAACCGCGAAGAGAGAGAGAUCGAAGGAGACGUUCACUCACUCAUCGUUGUCGCUACCAUGCGUUGCCUCUGCUGCUGGUUCAGCUGCCGUCGAGCUCGCAGCAACCGUCACCAUGGAGACCGCCACUAUCAUCUCCGAAGCUGCGUCGUCGAUUAGGUUAAGGAGGGGGAGAAUCGUGAACAACCGGAGGAGGAGAAGAACGUGUGGUGGUGGGUGUUCUCUUAGCCAGCGUCGUUGAAGGAUGCUCCGCCGCCGCCGCCGCCGCCGGAAUCACGAGCUGAGCUGUGGACUGUGACGAUCGAUUUUCCGAAAGAAUCGUUGCUGCUAUGAACUAUUUCAGCCCUGCCCUGGAAAAAUCCCAAAAAUGUUUUUGUUUCCAUCUAGCCACUGUUAUCGCGAUUGUUGAUGACAUCGCUGCUGCAGAGGGUCAUCGGCGUCACUGUUGCGGUUGCUGCCACAAAUUAGGAAUAAAAGGAACUAUUGCGUUAAAUUCUGCAAUUGCGACAUCGAGUGACACAGGUUUGAAGACGCAAUUUGAAGCUACGAGCGAUUAGUAGGUUUUCUUUAUGGUUUUAAUUGCUUUCAUAGAGUCCCCUCGCUCUUGUCCUUUGAAGUUUUAUUUUAUCAGAGGGGUAGGUAUUGUAUUUGGGUGUAUAUGACUUCCUAUGUAUAAGAAUUACUAAUAAUAAUACCUCUGUGAUUGUUAUUAUUAUUUGCAAUGUUUAUCCUUGAUACAUGUCUUUAAUGAAUAAAAACAAAAUUUUCCGGAAUUUUCUUAAAACUAAAAUGCGAACUCGAUAUAAAGGCUCAGUAAUUAAGUAGUUAAUAUUAGAAAAGGUCACGUAACGUUCUUUCUAGUAGAAAUACCCUGACUUAAGCAAGGUAUUUUGCUGGAAGGGAUGUUACAAUAUGGUAUCAGAGCAGUCCUUCCUGUAGAGCCUUGGGAGUGGACUGACUAUGCUUCAUUGCAUACUCUGAGUGUCUGUCAUGCUUUCUAACUUGUUCUGAUGACAAGAUUUUGUGUUUUAUAUGCAUGGCUGUCUUGUGAUUAACGCUAUUAGUUUAUCAUUGCAUACCUCAUGGUAUCAAGUUUGGCCAACUUAAUACUAAUGAUUUAUGUAUAUGGAAAUACUAAUGGGUUAUCAUAGACGAAAUAGAAGUGAUAGGUUAAUGCGAAUCACGAGGUUUUGGGGACGUUAGAAACUAAGUUCUAGAGAUUAGCUCCGUUUCGACGUAUCGUCUUUAUUCGUGCUUAGCGUUAUUUCUUUCUCUACCAAUUGUAUUAGAAUUUCUAAUUUCUGAUCUCUUUCUUGCUAAUCUUGUAUUAUCAUUCGUGCAUGUCCUUGCUUGACUCUGUACCUGGUUGUUGUUUGAAUCUUUUGAAACAUUUAUCUUUACCUUACAAACUCUAUGCUCCUUGUUCUGAACUUGGAUUCAUUUCAGUGUAACAUACCAUUUCUUGUAAUUUCCUUUCUGAGUAUUUAUUUCAGAUUUUCUUUGAGAAAAAUUUCAAUUCAAAUCUUUUCUUACUUGACUGUAUCCACAACCCUUGCUUAAAUUUUGAUGGGAUUGUUUUAAUUCAGCCUAGACUUUCUUACAUAAACUCUGAAGCUUCUUUAUGUAGUUUAAUUUUGUUUAAUUGUGAUAUACCACUUAUCUUUUAUUGAUUUAUAGAAAAAUUUAUUUCAGAAUUCAUUCUUUAAAUAGAAGCUGAUUUUCUUCCAUCUUUACUAUAAUUCUAUAGCUAUGUACUUAAGUAUCUUCCAAGCUUUAGUUUACAAACCAUGCAUGAUUUGUUUUGAUUUGAAAAUUAAAUCGAUAUAACAUACUAUUUAUACUAAGUUUAGUACAUUGAAAAAUGUUGGAUUUAUAUAUGUUCUUUUGAAAAAGAUAAACUAAUACCCUCUAUUUCAAAUUUAAGUUAUUCAAAAUUGUUGUACUAUUUUUCCUAUGAUGUUCAUAUUGAAAUUGUUCGAUUCAAAAUUUCUUCCUAAGCCUUGAAUUAAUUCCCUUUAUUCUCCAUUUCAUUGUUUAUAUAUCCUUGUUUGUUGAUGAUUUCACGUUUUCCUUCAAAUCCUGGCGAAAUACCAUCUUGUUCAACUGAGAACUUGAGUAUUCUUCCAAUUUCUCACAUAAACCUUUCAUGCCGUUUGUCUUUCUCUUCUCAUGUUUCGUAUUCUUUAUAUGCGCUAGUUCUUAGGGACACGAUUUGUGCGUACGGAGAGUGAAUUUGGUUAGUCUACGAAAUUAUAAGGAGUUAUGGAGUUUUGAGGCGAUGAGAGGAAGUGAUCAUGCUUUGUUAAAAGUUGUGAACGAAUAUGUACCUAUUUGAUUUUGGAUUUUAAAAUUUUUCUUAUGUUAAGUUACUUUAUCAACUCUAGCAUUACCUAGUAUAUUUUCUUCUAUGUUUAUGUGAUAUGAUUUUCUUGGAGCCUUUAAAAUAUUCAAAAGGGGAUGUGAAUAUAAAUCUUUUCUUCAUUUUAUAUCAAUUUUCGAGGACGAAAAUUUUUGUAAGUUGGAUAGAAUGUAACAUCCCUCAUUUUU